UGGGGAAUAUUGCACAAUGGGGGAAACCCUGAUGCAGCAACGCCGCGUGAGGGAUGAAGGUUUUCGGAUUGUAAACCUCUAUCGAUGGGGAUAAAUAAUGAUAGUACCCAAGUAAGAAGCGCCAGCUAACUACGUGCCAGCAGCUGCGGUAAUACGUAGGGUGCAAGCGUUAUCCGGAAUUACUGGGUGUAAAGGGUGAGUAGGCGGCUGAUUAAGUCAUAUGUGAAAUCCCGAUGCUUAACGUCGGGACUGCAUAAGAAACUGGUUGGCUAGAGUGCAGGAGAGGUAAGCGGAAUUCCUAGUGUAGCGGUGAAAUGCGUAGAUAUUAGGAAGAACACCAGUGGCGAAGGCGGCUUACUGGACUGUAACUGACGCUGAUUCACGAAAGCGUGGGGAGCGAACA
rnacentral:rRNA from 1 species